AGCAGCCGCGGUAAUUCCAGCUCCAAUAGCGUAUAUUAAAGUUGUUGCAGUUAAAAAGCUCGUAGUUGAAUUUCGGGAUCAGAGUGUCGGUCGUGCCUCGGUACGCACUGGUAUUAUUGGUUCCUACCUUCUGAAGAACCGCGAUGUCAUUAAUUUGGUGUCGUGGGGAAUCAGGACUGUUACUUUGAAAAAAUUAGAGUGUUUAAAGCAGGCUUACGCUUGAAUACAUUAGCAUGGAAUAAUGAAAUAGGACGUUUGAUUCUAUUUUGUUGGUUUCUAGGAUUGACGUAAUGAUUAAUAGGGAUAGUUGGGGGCAUUAGUAUUCAAUUGUCAGAGGUGAAAUUCUUGGAUUUAUUGAAGACUAACUACUGCGAAAGCAUUUGCCAAGGAUGUUUUCAUUAAUCAAGAACGAAAGUUAGGGGAUCGAAGACGAUCAGAUACCGUCGUAGUCUUAACCAUAAACUAUGCCGACUAGGGAUCGGAUGAUGUUAAUUUUUAAUGACUCAUUCGGCGCCUUAAC
rnacentral:rRNA from 1 species